GUUAUAGGGUCAAGUGAAUAAGUGCAUGUGGUGGAUGCCUUGGCGAUCACAGGCGAUGAAGGACGUUGUAGCCUGCGUUAUGCUGCGGGGAGCUGGCAAACAAGCUUUGAUCCGCAGAUUUCCGAAUGGGGAAACCCACUCCGCAAGGAGUAUCCCACGCUGAAUACAUAGGCGUGAGGAGGCGAACCGAGCGAACUGAAACAUCUAAGUAGCUCGAGGAAAAGAAAUCAACCGAGAUUCCGAAAGUAGUGGCGAGCGAAAUUGGAACAGCCUGUACGUGAUAGUCACGAAGUCAGCAGAACGGUCUGGAAAGCCCGGCCAUAGCAGGUGAUAGCCCUGUAUGUGAAAACUUCGUGGUGGUACUAAGCGUACGAUAAGUAGGGCGGGACACGUGAAAUCCUGUCUGAAGAUGGGGGGACCAUCCUCCAAGGCUAAAUACUCGUGAUCGACCGAUAGUGAACCAGUACCGUGAGGGAAAGGCGAAAAGAACCCCGGGAGGGGAGUGAAAUAGAUCCUGAAACCGCAUGCAUACAAACAGUCGGAGCCUCCUUGAGGGGUGACGGCGUACCUUUUGUAUAAUGGGUCAGCGACUUACGUUUAGUGGCAAGCUUAACCGAAUAGGGGAGGCGCAGGGAAACCGAGUCCGAAUAGGGCGAUCAGUCGCUAGGCGUAGACCCGAAACCAGAUGAUCUAUCCAUGGCCAGGAUGAAGGUAGGGUAACACCUGCUGGAGGUCCGAACCGACUACUGUUGCAAAAGUAGCGGAUGAGCUGUGGAUAGGGGUGAAAGGCUAAACAAAUCUGGAAAUAGCUGGUUCUCCCCGAAAACUAUUUAGGUAGUGCCUCAUGUAUGGCUCCAGGGGGUAGAGCACUGUCAUCAUUGCGGGGGUCAUUGCGAUUUACCGCGUGAUAGCAAACUCCGAAUACCUGGAAGUCUGAGCAUGGGAGACAGUCCUCGGGUGCUAACGUCCGAGGUCGAGAGGGAAACAACCCAGACCGCCAGCUAAGGUCCCCAAGCAUGACUAAGUGGGAAACGAAGUGGGAAGGCUAAAACAGUCAGGAGGUUGGCUUAGAAGCAGCCACCCUUUAAAGAAAGCGUAAUAGCUCACUGAUCGAGUCGUCCUGCGCGGAAGAUGUAACGGGGCUAAGUCAUGCACCGAAGCUGCGGAUUUGCGAAAGCAAGUGGUAGGGGAGCGUUCUGUA
rnacentral:rRNA from 1 species